GAAAUGCGAUAAGUAAUGUGAAUUGCAGAAUUCCGUGAAUCAUCGAAUCUUUGAACGCACAUUGCGCCCCCUGGUAUUCCGGGGGGCAUGCCUGUCCGAGCGUCAUUUCAACCCUCAAGCACGGCUUGUGUGAUGGGCCCCGGCGUCUCGUUCGCGAGACGGGCCCGAAAGGCAGCGGCGGCGUCGACCCGAUGAGCCCGAGCGUAUGGGGACUUCUGUCACACGUUCGCGGUGCGGACCGGCGCCUGCUUGACUUUUCUGAUUAUCCAGGUUGACCUCGGAUCAGGUAGGGAUACCCGCUGAACUUAAGC
rnacentral:misc_RNA from 1 species